CUGGGGAGGAGACCACAACACUCAAAUACCCAGAUCCCUGGUAGCUGCCAGCCAGGCAUCGAGGAGGCCACUUGUCUUUUUCAGCUCCAGCUGCUCCUUUAGGUCUCUCUGUGCCGUAGGUGUGAUCAUCUUGUGCCCCAGAGCUCUUUGGCUUCGGUGAAAUGUCAACAAUCCUGAAAUGGUUUGGACGGGAAGAUAAGGAGAGAGAGG